rnacentral:rRNA from 1 species
UACGAAGGGGGCUAGCGUUGUUCGGAAUUACUGGGCGUAAAGCGCGCGCAGGCGGUUUUUCAAGUCAGUGGUGAAAGCCCGGAGCUCAACUCCGGAAAUGCCAUUGAAACUGCAAAACUUGAGAACGAGAGAGGUGAGUGGAAUUCCCAGUGUAGAGGUGAAAUUCGUAGAUAUUGGGAAGAACACCGGUGGCGAAGGCGGCUCACUGGCUCGUUUCUGACGCUCAGGCGCGAUAGCAUGGGGAUCAAACAGG